UCUUGCCAUGCGCGUGCUAUACAUGCAGUCGAACGCACUUUCGUUAAUUGAUUUUGAGAUGCUUGCAUCGAAGAUGAUUUUAACUAUAAAGUGAGUGGCGAACGGGUGAGUAACACGUGGGUAACCUGCCCAGAAGUGGGGGAUAACACCUGGAAACAGAUGCUAAUACCGCAUAACAAAAUUAACCGCAUGGUUGAUUUUUAAAAGAUGGCUUCGGCUAUCACUUCUGGAUGGACCCGCGGCGUAUUAGCUAGUUGGUGAGAUAAAGGCUCACCAAGGCAGUGAUACGUAGCCGACCUGAGAGGGUAAUCGGCCACAUUGGGACUGAGACACGGCCCAGACUCCUACGGGAGGCAGCAGUAGGGAAUCUUCCACAAUGGACGCAAGUCUGAUGGAGCAACGCCGCGUGAGUGAUGAAGGCUUUCGGGCCGUAAAACUCUGUUGUUGGAGAAGAACGUGUGUGAGAGUAACUGCUCAUGCAGUGACGGUAUCCAACCAGAAAGCCACGGCUAACUACGUGCCAGCAGCCGCGGUAAUACGUAGGUGGCAAGCGUUAUCCGGAUUUAUUGGGCGUAAAGCGAGCGCAGGCGGUCUUUUAAGUCUAAUGUGAAAGCCUUCGGCUUAACCGAAGAAGUGCAUUGGAAACUGGGAGACUUGAGUGCAGAAGAGGAGAGUGGAACUCCAUGUGUAGCGGUGAAAUGCGUAGAUAUAUGGAAGAACACCAGUGGCGAAGGCGGCUCUCUGGUCUGCAACUGACGCUGAGGCUCGAAAGCAUGGGUAGCGAACAGGAUUAGAUACCCUGGUAGUCCAUGCCGUAAACGAUGAAUGCUAAGUGUUGGAGGGUUUCCGCCCUUCAGUGCUGCAGCUAACGCAUUAAGCAUUCCGCCUGGGGAGUACGACCGCAAGGUUGAAACUCAAAAGAAUUGACGGGGGCCCGCACAAGCGGUGGAGCAUGUGGGUUUAAUUCGAAGCUACGCGAAGAACCUUACCAGGUCUUGACAUCUUCUGCUAACCUAAGAGAUUAGGCGUUCCCUUCGGGGACGAUGACAGUGUGCAUGGUGUCGUCAGCUCGUGUCGUGAGAUGUGGGUAGUCCCGCACGAGCGCACCCUAUAUAGUGCCAGCAUAGGUGGCACUCUAGUGAGACUGCCGGUGACAAACCGAGAGGUGGGGACGGACGUCAUCAUCAUGCCGUAUGCACUGGCCUACACUACUGGCCUCACAAUGGGAACGCGGUUCCACCCAGGU
rnacentral:rRNA from 1 species